rnacentral:rRNA from 1 species
UACGUAGGGGGCAAGCGUUGUCCGGAGUUACUGGGCGUAAAGCGCACGCAGGCGGUCAGUUGCGUCGUUGGUGACAGUCCCCGGCUUAACUGGGGAAGCGCUGGCGAAACGGGCUGACUUGAGGGCCAGAGAGGGACACGGAACUCCGGGUGGAGCGGUGAAAUGCGUAGAGAUCCGGAAGAACACCGAAGGCGAAGGCAGUGUCCUGGCUGGUUCCUGACGCUCAGGUGCGAAAGCUAGGGGAGCAAACAGG